UAGUAAGGAUCCUACCAGGGAUUAUUUAUGUAUUAUGUUGGUAGAAUGUUGAAGUUGGGAUAGUAGUAAGGAUCCUACCAGGGAUUAUUUAUGUAUGAUGUUGGUAGAAUGUUGAAGUUGGGAUAGUAGUAAAAGGCCGGUGUGUAAAUGACUAAGAUUCAAGCCUCCCAUGAAUUAGGGAGCUUUGUUUCAUUAUUGUGUGUUUAUCUGUAUGUUCCUUCCUGUAGUUGGCCAUCUGGGAGGAUUCUGUAUGGAGGAAUGGUCUAAGAUCACCCCAAUGUGUUCUCCGACUCAUAAAACAUUUAAGAAAAAGUCUUAGUGCUGUUAUCCAUGCAAGGUGGAGGCAGGUAGUCUAGUGGUUAGAGUGUAGGGGCGGCAGGUAGCCUAGUGGUUAGAGUGUAGGGGCGGCAGGUAGCCUAGUGGUUAGAGUGUAGGGGCGGCAGGUAGUCUAGUGGUUAGAGUGUAGGGGCGGCAGGUAGCCUAGUGGUUAGAGUGUAGGGGCGGCAGGUAGCCUAGUGGUUAGAGCGUUGGGCCAGUAACCGAAAGGUUGCAAGAUCGAAUGCCUGAGCUGACAAGGAAAGAACCUGUCGUUCUGCCCCUGAACAAGGCAGUUAACCCACUGUUCCUAGACCAGUUAACCCCCUGUUCCUAGACCAGUUAACCCCCUGUUCCUAGACCAGUUAACCCACUGUCCUAGACCAGUUAACCCACUGUUCCUAGACCAGUUAACCCACUGUUCCUAGACCAGUUAAUCCACUGUUCCUAGACCAGUUAACCCCCUGUUCCUAGACCAGUUAACCCACUGUUCCUAG
ensembl:lncRNA